UACAGAGGAUGCAAGCGUUAUCCGGAAUGAUUGGGCGUAAAGCGUCUGUAGGUGGCUUUUUAAGUCCGCCGUCAAAUCCCAGGGCUCAACCCUGGACAGGUGGUGGAAACUACCAAGCUAGAGUACGGUAGGGGCAGAGGGAAUUUCCGGUGGAGCGAUGAAAUGCGUAGAGAUCGGAAGGAACACCCAAGGCGAAAGCACUCUGCUGGGCCGACACUGACACUGAGAGACGAAAGCUAGGGGAGCAAAUGGG
rnacentral:rRNA from 1 species